UGCCGCUGACACAUGCAGUAAAGGCAAAUGUUAGCGGCAAUUUUCCUAAUGCAGGGAAUAAGCAUGUUUUUAGAGGUAAUUGAAAAGAAUGGCCUCUAAAACUUUAGCCUUUUACUAUUAUUUUAUGUUUCCCUCAAUCUUUUUCUGUGCCCGCUAAGUUUCCCUCCAAAGAAUUUUCAUCUCCUAGGAAUCAAGUUUGGUCUUUUCAACCUCUAAAUUUGCCCUUAGCAUCUUUGCUUAAUUCCCCUAAUGGGAGAUCUGCACUAUUUCUCUGAUGAGUUCUCUGUCCCUCUGCGGUGAUAUAAUUGGUUGAACACAAAAAGGAGCAGAGAAGUGUGGUCUGUGGUAGCAUUCCAUUGCAGAUGGAUAAUAAGGUCAUGCAGUAUGAAGUUCAAAAAUUUCCCUUGUGGAAGAUUUCACUAUGAUGAAGAGUUUGGAAAAUUAUUUGAAGACAUUAAUCGAUAGGACUAGUUAUUUAUUUCAAACAAGAUCAUUUUAUUUUUUUAGGUUGUGACAUUAAUAUUUUGGAUUAGUACUUUCUUUUAUUUGUUUAGAUUUAAUAAGAUAUUUUUUUUAAUGAAUUAAUUGUCUUUUAGCACUUUCCAAUC